rnacentral:lncRNA from 1 species
CAGUUCCAACAUGGCUUCCGCCCGCCGCUCCGCUCCGCCCGCCCGCACGCCCUCCCUCCGGUUCCCGGCCCCGCUCGCCACUGCGCAGCCGCCAUCCCGGAGGCCGCGCGCUCCCGGCGGGCCCUGCGCGCCCCCGGCUCGCGCGCCCGGUCGGGACACGCCGGACGCGCCAGACUCCGGGUAACAAAGUUGGACUCGCUGCUUGUGGUCCCAGCCCCAGCCCCAGCAGGUAGUAGUUGCCACGCACAAGACGGUAUUCCCCAACUUUCUAAGAGCAAGUACAUCCGAGAGCCCCGACCCUUUCUUCUAGGUUUAGGGGAGGAGGUCCCCAUCAGAAAGGUGAGAAAGACCCUCGGGGGACAGUGACACUUGGGCUCUUGGGGUUGGCUUGA